rnacentral:rRNA from 1 species
ACGCACGCUGGCGGCGUGCCUAACACAUGCAAGUCGAACGGAAAGGCCCUGCUUUUGUGGGCUGCCCGAGUGGCGAACGGGUGAGUAAUACGAGAGUAACCUGCUCUUGACUUUGGGGUGACUUCAGGAAACUGGGGUUACUAUCGGAUAGGAUCUUAUGUUGCAUGGUGGGGGUUGGAAAGUUUCGGCGGUUGGGGCUGGAUUCGCGGGUUACCAGCUUGUUGGUGGGGGAUGGGCAUACCAAGGCUUUGACUGGUAGGCCGCCUGAGUAGGUGGCCACCCACCAUGCUACUAAGGGACGGACCAGACUCCAACGGUGGGCAGCAGUGGGAAGUAUUACACAGUCGGCGCGAGCCUGAUGCAGCGACCCCGCGUGCGGAAUGACGGCCUUCGGGUUAUAAACCGCUUUCGCCUGUGACGAAGCGUGAGUGACGGUAAUGGGUAAAGAAGCACCGGCUAACUACGUG